rnacentral:rRNA from 1 species
GACGAACGCUGGCGGCGUGCCUAAUACAUGCAAGUCGAACGCUUCUUUCCUCCCGAGUGCUUGCACUCAAUUGGAAAGCGGAGUGGCGGACGGGUGAGUAACACGUGGGUAACCUACCCAUCAGAGGGGGAUGACACUUGGAAACAGGUGCUAAUACCGCAUAACAGUUUAUGCCGCAUGGCAUAAGAGUGAAAGGCGCUUUCGGGUGUCGCUGAUGGAUGGACCCGCGGUGCAUUAGCUAGUUGGUGAGGUAACGGCUCACCAAGGCCACGAUGCAUAGCCGACCUGAGAGGGGGAUCGGCCACACUGGGACUGAGACACGGCCCAGAGUCCUACGGGAGGCAGCAGUAGGGAAGAUUCGGCAAUGGACGAAAGUCUGACCGAGCAACGCCGCGUGAGUGAAGAAGGCUUUCGGAUCGUAAAACUCUGUUGUUAGAGAAGAACAAGGACGUUAGUAACUGAACGUCCCCUGACGGUAUCUAACCAGAAAGCCACGGCUAACUACGU